UCCGUAGGUGGAUAAUUAAGUCAGUGAUGAAAUCCUGCAGCUUAACUGUAGAACUGUUAUUGAUACUGAUUUUCUUGAAUAUAGUUGAGGUAGGCGGAAUGUGUAAUGUAGCGGUGAAAUGCUUAGAUAUUACACAGAACACCGAUUGCGAAGGCAGCUUACUAAGCUAUUAUUGACGCUGAGGCACGAAAGCGUGGGGAGCGAACAGGAUUAGAUACCCUGGUAGUCC
rnacentral:rRNA from 1 species